GAGGAGCCUGCCUGUUACGCGAAUGCAGUAAGCCAAGAUGGCAGAGAAAAGCAGAGCACCAGUGUGGGACUAUUACAUGGAAUUGGCACCAGGGAAAGCAAGGUGUCUUAUUUGUGAUAAAGAUGUAAGCAUGGGGUCAGCAACGGCUAAAU